ACAACGGGUGGAGCCUGCGGUUUAAUUGGACUCAACGCCGGGCAGCUCACCGGAUAAGACGGCUGGAUGAUAGCCGGGCUGAAGACUCCGCUUGACUAGCUGAGAGGAGGUGCAUGGCCGUCGUCAGUUCGUACUGUGAAGCAUCCUGUUAAGUCAGGCAACGAGCGAGACCCACGCCAACAGUUGCCAGCAUGUCCUCCGGGAUGAUGGGGACACUGUUGGGACCGCCUCUGCUAAAGAGGAGGAAGGAAUGGGCAACGGUAGGUCAGCAUGCCCCGAAUUAUCCGGGCUACACGCGGGCUACAAUGGUCAGGACAAUGGGUAUCGACACCGAGAGGUGGAGGCAAUCUCCUAAACCUGUCCUUAGUUCGGAUUGUGGGCUGCAACUCGCCCACAUGAAGCUGGAAUCCGUAGUAAUCGUGUCUCAAAAUGGCACGGUGAAUAUGUCCCUGCUCCUU
rnacentral:rRNA from 1 species